rnacentral:rRNA from 1 species
GGUUCCCCCGUUCCGGAGGGGCGAGGGUGGACAGGUGGUGCAUGGUUGUCGUCAGCUCGUGUCGUGAGAUGUUGGGUUAAGUCCCGCAACGAGCGCAACCCUCGACCUUAGUUGCCAGCAUUCAGUUGGGCACUCUAAGGUGACUGCCGGCUAAAAGUCGGAGGAAGGUGGGGAUGACGUCAAAUCAUCAUGCCCCUUAUGACCUGGGCUACACACGUGCUACAAUGGGCGGUACAAAGGGUCGCGAACCCGCGAGGGGGAGCCAAUCCCAAAAAGCCGCUCUCAGUUCGGAUUGCAGGCUGCAACUCGCCUGCAUGAAGCCGGAAUCGCUAGUAAUCGCGGAUCAGCAUGCCGCGGUGAAUACGUUCCCGGGCCUU